GAUGAACGCUGGCGGUAUGCCUAACACAUGCAAGUCGUACGAGAGUUUUUAACUCUAGUGGCGGACGGGUGAGUAACACGUGAGAAUUUGCCUUUAGGAGGGGGACAACAAUUGGAAACGAAUGCUAAUACACCAUAUGCUUUCGAGUGAAAUGGAUUUUAUCCGCCUAGAGAGAAGCUCGCGGCUGAUUAGCUUGUUGGUAAGGUAAGAGCUUACCAAGGCGACGAUCAGUAUAUGGUUUGAGAGGACGAUCAGACACACUGGAACUGAGACACGGUCCAGACUCCUACGGGAGGCAGCAGUGGGGAAUAUUGGACAAUGGGGGGAACCCUGAUCCAGCCAUGCCGCGUGUGUGAAGAAGGCCUUAUGGUUGUAAAGCACUUUAAGCGAGGAGGAGGCUACUGAGACUAAUACUCUUGGAUAGUGGACGUUACUCGCAGAAUAAGCACCGGCUAACUCUGU
rnacentral:rRNA from 1 species